rnacentral:rRNA from 1 species
GACGAACGCUGGCGGCGUGCUUAACACAUGCAAGUCGAACGAAGAGCGAUGGAAGCUUGCUUCUAUCAAUCUUAGUGGCGAACGGGUGAGUAACGCGUAAUCAACCUGCCCUUCAGAGGGGGACAACAGUUGGAAACGACUGCUAAUACCGCAUACGAUCUAAUCUCGGCCUCGAGGAUAGAUGAAAGGUGGCCUCUACAUGUAAGCUAUCACUGAAGGAGGGGAUUGCGUCUGAUUAGCUAGUUGGAGGGGUAACGGCCCACCAAGGCGAUGAUCAGUAGCCGGUCUGAGAGGAUGAACGGCCACAUUGGGACUGAGACACGGCCCAGACUCCUACGGGAGGCAGCAGUGGGGAAUCUUCCGCAAUGGACGAAAGUCUGACGGAGCAACGCCGCGUGAGCGAUGACGGCCUUCGGGUUGUAAAGCUCUGUUAAUCGGGACGAAAGGCCUUCUUGCGAAUAGUGAGAAGGAUUGACGGUACCGGAAUAGAAAGCCACGGCUAACUACGUG